rnacentral:rRNA from 1 species
AUUGAACGCUGGCGGCAUGCUUUACACAUGCAAGUCGAACGGUAACAGCACUUCGGUGGCUGACGAGUGGCGAACGGGUGAGUAAUACAUCGGAACGUGCCUAGUAGUGGGGGAUAACUACUCGAAAGAGUAGCUAAUACCGCAUGAGAUCUAAGGAUGAAAGCAGGGGACCUUCGGGCCUUGCGCUACUAGAGCGGCUGAUGGCAGAUUAGGUAGUUGGUGGGAUAAAAGCUUACCAAGCCGACGAUCUGUAGCUGGUCUGAGAGGACGACCAGCCACACUGGGGGUGAGAGACGGGCCAGACACCCACGGGGGGGAGAGGGGGGGGAAUUUGGGGAAAGGGGGCAAGCCCUUUCCCGCAAAGGCCCGGGAGGAGGAAGAGCCUUCGGGGUGUAAAAUGUUUUUUUGCGGAAAGAAAAACCCCCUCUUAAAACAGGGGGGGCACGCGGGGACCGAAAAAAAAAACCCCGGCUAACUACGU